UGGGGGAAGUUUUCCGUCAAUGGGCGAAAGCCUGACGGAGCAAUGCCGCGUGGAGGUGGAAGGCCUACGGGUCGUCAACUUCUUUUCUCGGAGAAGAAACAAUGACGGUAUCUGAGGAAUAAGCAUCGGCUAACUCUGUGCCGG
rnacentral:rRNA from 1 species